rnacentral:rRNA from 31 species
AGCAUGUCUGUCUGAGUGUUGGUU